rnacentral:rRNA from 1 species
CACGUAGGAGGCAAACGUUAUCCGGAUUUACUGGGCGUAAAGCGCGUGUAGGUGGUUCUGUAAGUAGGGCGUGAAAGCUCCCGGCUCAACUGGGAGAGGCCGUUCUAAACUGCAGAGCUAGAGGAUGGUAGAGGGAGGUGGAAUUCCAGGUGUAGCGGUGGAAUGCGCAGAUAUCUGGAGGAACACCAGUGGCGAAGGCGGCCUCCUGGACCAUUCCUGACACUCAGACGCGAAAGCUAGGGCAGCAAACGGGAUUAGAUACCCGUGUAGU